GCGCCCAAGGUCACACAGCUGGGAUGUGGCAGAGCUGGGGUUCCAGCUCCUGUUCCCAUUGCUGGACAGCUGCCACAUCUGGCACCCAAUUUAGGACCCCGCGGGGAGGCCCAAGCCCCGGGGGUGGCGGGGGAUCCUAGAGGAAAGUGGCAAGGCCAGGACCCUGGAGCAGAGCCAGAGUAGAAAACUGAGGCUCUGAGAGAUGAAGCUACUUGCCAAGGUCACGCAGCACAGUCACAUCCUACUGAACAUCAUCCUGUUCUCUGGGUGGAAUGUCACCAUCGCCCAGGUGGGGAUUUUUGUGUGUUUUGUUCACUGCUGUACACCCAGCCCCCAGCACAGCGCCUGUCCAGGACAAGUGCCCAGUAAACACUUGGGAAGCAAUGCAAGCGUCCUCCCAGCAGCUCCUGCAAACAGACCCCCGACCCAAGCCCUUCCUUCUGCCUCCACUGCCACCACUGCUGCUCAUCUCUGCUGGCACAGAAGUCUCUUCCCUGGUCUUCCAGAAAUCCCCUCUCCACACUCAGCCAGAGGGAGCUAUUAAAACUGUGGGCCAGCCCACAUCAGUCCACAGCAAAGUCCUCUCUAAGGGAUCUCUGUUGCUUGGAGAAUAAACCCUCGGAUUCCUUCCUUGGCUCUCGGGGCCUCCUCUCUGACCUCCCUCUGUCUCCUCUCCCAGCCUUCCUCCUCACUCACCCUCCAGCCAUGCUGGCUUCCUCCUUGCUCCUGAAACAGCCUGAGGCCCACACUGCCCCGGGCCCUUUGCACUGGCUGUUUCCUCUGCCUGGAACACUUCUCCUAGGCAUCCACAGGGCUCCCUCCCACAACUCCUUCGGGUGCCCACAUGGGAAGCCAUCCCUGACCACCCCCCCGACUUCCUUCUGAGCAAGGUAGGGUCUUUCUACCUAGUCAUGAGGGCAGGGAUUUUUGUCUGUUGUGUUCUCUGUGUGCCCCCAGUGCCAUCCCAGUGCCUGGCAGAUGGUAAGUGCUCGACACACAUUGGCUGACUGCCUGAAUGAACAACUCUAUGAGCCGAUGGCAGAUAAGGACACUGAGGUCCUCUGGGGUAGGUGACCAGCCCAAGGCCACACAGCUGGUCUGAGAUUAGGCCAGGAGAGGAGCCCGGGUUGGUCACAUCCUGGAGUUGGCGUCUUGGAAACUGCAUCAGGAGAAUAACAAAGAUGAGACGCAGGCUCUAACAAGUGGAUACCAGUGACUCUCGCCCCGCCAGCCCCAGCCCUGCAGCCUUGGGCCCUUCCAGGAGUCAUGGUCUGCCUGCCUGGGGCAUUCCAGGCUUCGACCCAGGUCCUGCACUUUCUAUUUUGAGCCUCUUAGUCCUGAGGACUGUGUGUUCCCAGCAGGCGGCGCGGGCCAGAGGCUGAGCCUGGGUGUGGCUGUCACCCUAUCUGGGGCCAGAGACCCAGAUUCCCGGGCCCUUAACCUGUUGGCUGCUGAGGGCUCUGGCAUAAGCCCUGUUCCCUGCUUGAUUGUCUCCCCUUCAAGCCCCUGCCCUGGUAUCGUAUCGGCCCAUCUCACCUUGGAUUAUAUCCCUGUUUGGCCCCAUUUGAAUCCUGGCUCUGCCCCUUUCCAGCAAUGUGACCUUGGGCAAGUCACUUCAUCUCUCUGGGUCUCAGUUUCUUCAUCUGGGAAAUGGGGACAAUAAGAGUACCUGUCUCUGGCCAUGUGUGGUGACUCAUGCCUGUAACCCCAGCGCUUUGGGAAGCCGAGGCGAGAGAAUUGCUUGAGACCAGGAGUUUGAGAUCAGCCCUGGGCAACAUAGUGAGACCCCUGUCUCUACAAAAUUCUAAAAAAAUUAGCCGGGUGUGGUGGUGUGUGCCUGUAGUCCCAGCUAUUCUAGAGGCUGAGGCGGGAGGAUUGCUUGAGCCCAGGAGUUUGAGGCUGCAGUGAGCUAUGAUUAUGCCCCUGCACAUCAGCCUGGGUGAUAGAUUGAGGCCCCAUCUCUAAAAAUAACAAUACUAAUAAUAAAUAAAAAUGAAAAUGAGUACCUGU
rnacentral:lncRNA from 1 species